ACUCAAAUGAAUUGACGGGGGCCCGCACAAGCGGUGGAGCAUGUGGUUCAAUUCGAUGCAACGCGAAGAACCUUACCUGGUCUUGACAUCCCGGGAAUCUCCCUGAAAGGGGAGAGUGCCUUCGGGAACCCGGUGACAGGUGCUGCAUGGCUGUCGUCAGCUCGUGUCGUGAGAUGUUGGGUUAAGUCCCGCAACGAGCGCAACCCUUGUCUUUAGUUGCCAGCGGUUAGGCCGGGCACUCUAGAGAGACUGCCGGUGUCAAACCGGAGGAAGGUGGGGAUGACGUCAAGUCCUCAUGGCCUUUAUGACCAGGGCUACACACGUGCUACAAUGAUCGGUACAAAGGGCAGCGACACCGCGAGGUGAAGCAAAUCCCAAAAAACCGACCCCAGUACGGAUUGCAGUCUGCAACUCGACUGCAUGAAGUUGGAAUCGCUAGUAAUCGCGGAUCAGCACGCCGCGGUGAAUACGUUCCCGGGCCUUGUACACACCGCCCGU
rnacentral:rRNA from 1 species